rnacentral:snRNA from 1 species
GUGCUUGGGCAGCACAUAUCCUGAAAUUGGAACAAUACAGAGAUUAGCAUAGCCCUUGUUCAAGGGUGACACACAAUUCACGAAGCGUUCCAUAUUUUG